rnacentral:tRNA from 1 species
GCGGUUGUGGUGGAUUGGCAGACACGCCAUCUUGAGGGGGUGGUGAGCGUACGCUCGUGAGGGUUCAAGUCCCUCCAACCGCACCA